rnacentral:rRNA from 1 species
AUUGAACGCUGGCGGCAUGAUUUACACAUGCAAGUCGAACGGUAACAGGCCGCAGGGUGCUGACGAGUGGCGAACGGGUGAGUAAUGCAUCGGAACGUGCCCAGUCGUUGGGGGUAACUACUCGAAAGAUUAGCUAAUACCGCAUACGAUCUAUGGAUGAAAGCGGGGGACCGUAAGGCCUCGCGCGAUUGGAUCGGCCCAUGUCAGAUUAGGUAGUUGGUGGGGUAAAGGCUCACCAAGCCAACGAUCUGUAGCCGGUCUGAGAGGUCGACCAGCCACACGGGGACUGAGACACGGCCCAGACUCCUACGGGCGGCAGCAGUGGGGAAUGUUGGACAAUGGGGGCAAGCCUGAUCCAGCAAUGCCGCGUGCAGGAAGAAGGCCUUCGGGUUGUAAACUGCUUUUGUACGGAACGAAACGGCUCUGGUUAAUACCCGGGGUUAAUGACGGUACCGUAAGAAUAAGCACCGGCUAACUACGUG